CACCAUUACAAUAGUAGCCAUAUAUAUUUUUCCACCACACCCCAACGGUAUACGUGUAAAAUGAAUAAGCUAAACAGAAACAAAGUGUAAUAUUCUGCAGUAUUAUAUAAUACAAAUAUAAAGUUAUUAGAUGUAGUAGUUGCUAUUAUUCGCCUCCGCAGCACCAGUCGCGCGUUGCUGGCAUCAUCUUCUUCCUCAGUUUCCAAGAAAUGCAGGAUCGGACCCAAAUCCUCAUGCCUAGAGUGAAGUUGGGAAGACAGGGCUUGGAGGUGUCCAAGUUGGGUUAUGGUUGUAUGAGCCUUUCGGGGGUUUACAACUCCCCAGUCGAUGACGAAAAUGGGAUAUCUUUAAUCCUUCAUGCUUUCAACAGAGGGAUCACCUUCUUCGACACAUCCGAUGCUUACGGUCCUCAUACCAAUGAGAUCUUGAUGGGAAAGGCAUUAAGGCAUUUGCCUCGAGAAAGGGUUCAGUUGGCGACCAAAUUUGGUGUUGCAGGAGCCAGCCCAAGUGGCUUGUUGGUGAAUGGUUCACCGGAGUAUGCCAGAGCUUGCUGUAGAGCAAGUCUUGAGCGACUCGGUGUGGAUUAUAUCGAUCUUUAUUAUCAACACCGAAUUGAUAAGUCAGUGCCUAUAGAGGACACUAUUGGGGAGCUGAAAAAGUUGGUGGAAGAAGGAAUGGUUAAGUACAUCGGGUUGUCUGAGGCAAGCGCUGAUACUAUUAGGCGUGCUUAUGCUGUGCAUCCAAUCAGUGCAGUGCAAAUGGAGUGGUCUCUCUGGUCUCGGGAUAUCGAGGAGGGGAUUGUUCCCCUAUGCAGGGAACUUGGCAUAGGGAUUGUUCCUUACAGUCCUCUUGGCCGUGGGUUUUUUGGUGGGAGAGCUAUUGUGAUUCCUGCGAACAGUUUCUUGGUUUCACAUCCAAGGUUCUUUGGGGACAACUUGGAAAAAAAUAAGGUUUUAUACGCAAGGCUAGAGAAGAUAGCAUUGAAGCAUCAGUGUAAACCCUCUCAGCUUGCUCUGGCCUGGAUUCUUCAUCAAGGAAAUGAUGUAGCUCCUAUUCCAGGAACAACAAAGAUUAAACACCUUGAUGACAACAUUGAUGCACUACUGGUGAGGCUCACAGAGGAAGACAUGGAAGACAUUUCUAGUGCUGUGUCCAUUGAUGAGGUGGCGGGUGAUAGGAUCUAUGGGCAUUUAGUCCCACAUUCUUGGAAAUUUGCCGAUACACCUAUGAAGGAAAACAAUUUAUCUGCCUGAACAGUUGGAUUGUUUAUCAGUUGUGAUUUACUUUUCUCUUGAUCCUCUAGAAUGCAUAAUAAAUAGCUGGAGAUAGGGUGGGCAGUGAUUGAGUCAAGACAGCUUGUAGCCAGCUCAGUCAUGACUUUACUAAUAGCUCAUGAGCUGAGCUUGAUGAUCUAAGAAGUCAAAUUUGAGUUGAGCUCUCAAAUCUUUUGGAUCAAUCUUAAGGAAAACUAUCAAAGCAGAUAGGUGGAGUCAGCUGAUUUGAAUGAACAAAUAAAGGCAGCUUCAUUCGUUCAGAGUGUCGCAGACUCACAAUCCCUUAGGUCCGUGUUAGGAUGUAAAAUAAAAUGAGGUGGGGUUGUGUUAUGCAUGCACGCUUAGCCUUUUAGCCAAACUUUGGAGCUGAUUAACCUUUACAGAUCUGAAGAUACCACAUCUUAUUGGCUGUCAAAUAUUUCUCAAUCCAAGAGCCAAGAAUUCAUCAUGCAUCUUGGAUCCAUUGAACUAGAAAGGACUGCUGCUGCCAUCAUCACUUUAGUGUUAGGAAAACGAAAGUAUGUGAUUUCAAACUUGUUUCAAAUUUAUGCUAAAUACAUUUCAUGGAUGAAUUUGAGUUUUAAGUAAUUAAAGCUCAUUUUCGGUAAAUGUUGAACAUCAAUAUGCAUUUUUUGUAUUUUUUAUGUUGGAUAUGUUGU